GAUGAACGCUGGCGGCGUGCCUAAUACAUGCAAGUCGAGCGAAUGGAUUAAGAGCUUGCUCUUAUGAAGUUAGCGGCGGACGGGUGAGUAACACGUGGGUAACCUGCCCAUAAGACUGGGAUAACUCCGGGAAACCGGGGCUAAUACCGGAUAACAUUUUGAACCGCAUGGUUUGAAAUUGAAAGGCGGCUUCGGCUGUCACUUAUGGAUGGACCCGCGUCGCAUUAGCUAGUUGGUGAGGUAACGGCUCACCAAGGCAACGAUGCGUAGCCGACCUGAGAGGGGGAUCGGCCAGACUGGGACUGAGACACGGCCCAGACUCCUACGGGAGGCAGCAUUUGGGAAUCUUCCGCAAUGGACGAAAGUCUGACGGAGCAACGCCGCGUGAGUGAUGAAGGCUUUCGGGUCGUAAAACUCUGUUGUUAGGGAAGAACAAGUGCUAGUUGAAUAAGCUGGCACCUUGACGGUACCUAACCAGAAAGCCACGGCUAACUACGUGCCAGCCGCCGCAGUAA
rnacentral:rRNA from 1 species